GUCAGUAUAUAACAGAGAGGAGGUACAGUACAUACUCUAGUGCUGGUCUGAGGUCAGUAUAUAACAGAGAGGAGGUACAGUACAUACUCUAGUGCUGGUCUGAUGUCAGUAUAUAUAUCACAGAGGAGGUACAGUACAUACUCUAGUGCUGGUCUGAUGUCAGUAUAUAUAUAUAUAUCACAGAGGAGGUACAGUACAUACUCUAGUGCUGGUCUGAGGUCAGUAUAUAACAGAGAGGAGGUACAGUACAUACUCUAGUGCUGGUCUGAUGUCAGUAUAUAUAUAUAUAUCACAGAGGAGGUACAGUACAUACUCUAGUGCUGGUCUGAGGUCAGUAUAUAACAGAGAGGAG